rnacentral:lncRNA from 1 species
AACAGUAAGGAGGUAAUCUAGGUUAUAAUGUUAUAAUAGAAUCGUGUAAACAGACAUUCUCCCUGUACCGUGGAAAGCUUUCAAGUUUCUAGAUUUUACUUUAACUUGGUGCAUAUAAAAAUAUCCACAGAGGCAUGAUUAGUAAACAUUAUUUCUGGAUGUCUGAAAUACUAAGCAUAUAGCAUAUGUCUUAAUCAUAACAUAGAAACAUUUCAUGUGUAUACGUAGUAUAAAAAAUGAACACCCCAUCUGGGCUUGUCCAUUGCUAAAUUUCAUUUGUCCAAAGCCACCAAACCACGAUAAGCUGCAAGCCUACAAACCUAUAGAAUCAACUCAUAUCCAAUUCCACUGAUACAAAUCCUCUUCGGUCCCC